rnacentral:rRNA from 1 species
UACAACAUAGCAUUAAUGCACUAUAUCCCACUAGAACUCCGUAGUUAAGAAUGCUCAAGCUAGUGUAGUAUUGGGAUGGGUGACCUCUCGGGAAGUCCUAGUGUUUUAC